rnacentral:rRNA from 1 species
CAGUAGCCACGGGAAUACGAAGGGGGCUAGCGUUGUUCGGAUUAACUGAGCGUAAAGGGCGCGUAGGCGGGUUUUUAAGUCAGAGGUGAAAUCCCAAGGCUCAACCUUGGAACUGCCUUUGAUACUGGAAGUCUUGAGUCCGGGAGAGGUGAGUGGAACUGCGAGUGUAGAGGUGAAAUUCGUAGAUAUUCGCAAGAACACCAGUGGCGAAGGCGGCUCACUGGCCCGGUACUGACGCUGAGGCGCGAAAGCGUGGGGAGCAAACAGGAUUAGAUACCCCUGUAGUCCCUGUCUCUUAUAC